rnacentral:rRNA from 1 species
GAAUUGACGGGGACCCGCACAAGCAGCGGAGCGUGUGGUUUAAUUCGUUGCUACACGAAGAACCUUACCUGGGUUUGACAUAUAGGUUGUAGGGAACUGAAAAGGGACCGACCCUUCGGGGAGCCUAUACAGGUGUUGCAUGGCUGUCGUCAGCUCGUGUCGUGAGAUGUUCGGUUAAGUCCGCUAACGAGCGCAACCCUCGUCGUAUGUUAUAUGUGUCAUACGAGACUGCCGGUAAAAGCCGGAGGAAGGUGAGGAUGAUGUCAAGUCAGCAUGACCUUUAUAUCCAGGGCUACACACACGCUACAAUGGUCUGUACAAUGGGUAGCCAAGCCGCGAGGCGGAGCCAAUCCUGAAAGCAGGCCUCAGUUCAGAUUGCAGUCUGCAACUCGACUGCAUGAAGCCGGAGUUGCUAGUAACCGCAGGUCAGCAAUACUGCGGUGAAUACGUUCCCGGGUCUU